GGGGGCGGGAGAGAGGCAGGGUGGGAGAGGAGGAAGAGAGGAGGCUGGGGAGUGCCGUAAUUUAGGUCUUUAGAAAAUCUAACAAUAUAUAAGAAUUUCAUGUCCCAUUGAGAAGAGAAAGUACAGGGGGCAGAGUUUAUCACAUAUUAGAUGGUAUAGUUGAGGGGGCAGAGUUUAUCACAUAUUAGAUGGUAUUGCUCAGGGGGCAGAGUUUAUCACAUAUUAGAUGGUAUUUUUCAGGGGGCAGUUAUCACAUAUUAGUGGCGGUGAGGUAAUACCAUCUAUCAUCUGGUUGACGGUGAGGUAAUACCAUCUAUCAUCUAGUUGGCGGUGAGGUAAUACCAUCUAUCAUCUAGUUGGCGGUGAGGUAAUACCAUCUAUCAUCUAGUUGGCGGUGAGGUAAUACCAUCUAUCAUCUAGUUGGCGGUGAGGUAAUAUCAUCUAUCAUCUAGUUGGCGGUGAGGUAAUACCAUCUAUCAUCUAGUUGGCGGUGAGGUAAUACCAUCUAUCAUCUAGUUGGCGGUGAGGUAAUACCAUCUAUCAUCUAGUAGGCGGUGAGGUAAUACCAUCUAUCAUCUAGUAGGCGGUGAGGUAAUACCAUCUAUCAUCUAGUUGGCGGUGAGGUAAUACCAUCUAUCAUCUAGUUGGCGGUGAGGUAAUACCAUCUAUCAUCUAGUUGGCGGUGAGGUAAUACCAUCUAUCAUCUAGUUGACGGUGAGGUAAUACCAUCUAUCAUCUAGUAGGCGGUGAGGUAAUACCAUCUAUCAUCUAGUUGGCGGUGAGGUAAUACCAUCUAUCAUCUAGUAGGCGGUGAGGUAAUACCAUCUAUCAUCUAGUUGGCGGUGAGGUAAUACCAUCUAUCAUCUAGUUGGCGGUGAGGUAAUACCAUCUAUCAUCUAGUUGGCGGUGAGGUAAUACCAUCUAUCAUCUAGUUGGCGGUGAGGUAAUACCAUCAUCUAUCAUCUAGUUGGCGGUGAGGUAAUAAAUGGUAUUAUCUAGUUGGUGGUGAGGUAAUAGUGUGGUUAUUGAGUGUAAGGUUACAUCUGAUAUCAGUUGUUGUUUUUGCGUUCUACUGUUGAAUCCUCCAACCAGGCUUUCUGUAAAACGGGAAUUUGAGGUAAGUUACUGCAACUCUGCCGUGUUUAAAAGAAAUGGGAAUGAGAACUUGUAAUGUUCCAUGGGUCAUUGUGAUGGGGAUAAGUACUAGGUAUCGUUGUGAUGGGGAUAAGUACUAGGUAUCAUUGUGAUGGGGAUAAGUACUAGGUAUUGGUGUGAUGGGGAUAAGUACUAGGUAUCGUUGUGAUGGGGAUAAGUACUAGGUAUCAUUGUGAUGGGGAUAAAUACUAGUUAUCAUUGUGAUGGGGAUAAGUACUAGGUAUCGUUGUGAUGGGGAUAAGUACUAGGUAUCAUUGUGAUGGGGAUAAGUACUAGGAAUCAUUGUGAUGGGGGAUAUGUACUAGGUAUCAUUGUGAUGGGGAUAUGUACUAGGUAUCAUUGUGAUGUGGAUAAGUACUAGGAAUCGUUGUGAUGGGGAUAAGUACUAGGUAUCGUUGUGAUGGGAUAAGUACUAGGUAUCGUUGUGAUGGGAUAAGUACUAGGUAUCGUUGUGAUGGGAUAAGUACUAGGUAUCGUUGUGAUGGGAUAAGUACUAGGUAUCGUUGUGAUGGGAUAAGUACUAGGUAUCGUUGUGAUGGGAUAAGUACUAGGUAUCGUUGUGAUGGGGAUAAGUACUAGGUAUCGUUGUGAUGGGGAUAAGUACUAGGUAUCAUGAUGAUGGGGAUAAGUACUAGGUAUCAUUGGUAUAGUAAUAUGUACUAGGUAUCAUGAUGAUGGGGAUAAAUACUAGGUAUUGAUGUGUAUUAUUCUAGAGAGUCUCUGGUCAGAGGUAGAGGCCACUCGUUUUGACACCUAGAGUGUCUCUGUGGUCAGAGGUAGAGGCCACUCGUUUUGACACCUAGAGAGUCUCUGGUCAGGUAGAGGCCACUCGUUUUGACAGGAGCCACGUAGAGAACCUCUAUCUCGGACAGCGUGUCAUUGGAAAUGAGAACGUAGAUCUAACGACAACCGGGGUUUGGCAAGGGAUACGUCUAUUCAUUUAGACCGUGACGAACCUAACCGCGGAAAUUCUAGUAAAGAGAUGUAUUUGCACACACACUUCAUGCAUACAUACACCAGAAGACAGUACACUGUACACACGGACGAGUGUUACACAACAAGGGAAAACAACUUCCAUAAUCCAGUUUAUUUUUAUUUAUUUUUUUGAAUGAACAUGGGUUUUCCUUCUGUGUUCUAUUUCUACAAGGUUUUGGUUUUCUGAUGCACUAUGUUCAUUCAGUAUUUUUUAAAUUUGCGUCGUUUUGCCACUUCCUGUUAGGUACUUUUUGAAGUUAUGCACUUUGAAAAAAACACGUUUUAAAUUCAAUAACCCACAGUGCAUUGCUCCUAUUGAAACGAUUAGAUGAAUACUGGAGGUGGAAGGUAUGACACAAAGGAUUAUUAAAGUGAAACAAUCAAAUUCACAGCAUCAUUUCAUACCUCUCUCUUU